AUGCAUGUCGGUACGAUCAUGGAGCCGAAUGAUGCGACUUUCUUUGAAGAUAUCUUUCCCAUGAAGGAUAUGGCUACCUCAUCUCAUCAGGAGAUACCUAGUUCAUCAAAUCAGGAACCAGUUACAAUUACCGAACCUGCCAUUUCGAUGGAACACUUUGAAAGUCCUGUGGAGGAGAACAAUGAAGUUCCUACUAGGAGCAAGAGACAGAGGACUGCAAAGUCCUUUGGUGAUGAUUUUCUUGUGUAUCUCAUAGAUGACACUCCUAGUUCUAUUUCAGAGGCCCAUGCAUCUGAAGAUGCUGACUACUGGAAGAAAGCGGUUCGUAGCGAGAUGGAUUCCAUCUUGGCGAAUGAAACUUGGGAGAUAACUGAUCGUCCUUAUGGGUGCAAACCUAUAGGAUGCAAAUGGGUAUUCAAGAAGAAGCUUAGGCCUGAUGGUACUAUUGAAAAGUACAAGGCUCGGCUCAUGGCUAAGGGUUAUACCCAAAAGGAAGGUGAAGACUUCUUUGAUACUUACUCACCUGUGGCUCGACUGACCACUAUUCGAGUUCUGCUUUCACUAGCUGCCUCACAUGGUCUUUUCGUUCAUCAAAUGAAUGUUAAGACUGCUUUCCUAAAUGGAGAGUUGGACGAGGAGAUUUAUAUGGAACAACCAGAUGGGUUUGUACUAGAUGGUCAGGAAGGAAAAGUGUGCAAGUUGCUGAAGUCUUUGUAUGGACUCAAGCAAGCACCCAAACAGUGGCAUGAGAAGUUUGAAAGAACUUCAACAGCCGUAGGCUUUGUUGUGAAUGAAGCUGACAAAUGUGUGUACUAUCGCCAUGGUGGGGGCGAUGGAGUUAUCCUUUGCUUGUAUGUUGACGACAUACUGAUUUUUGGAACAAAUCUGAAUGUCAUUAAGGAGGUCAAGGAUUUCCUAUCUCGCUGUUUUGAGAUGAAGGAUUUAGGAGUGGCUGAUGUCAUUCUGAACAUCAAGUUGUUGAGAGACAAUGAUGGUGGGAUUAUAUUGCUUCAAUCUCACUAUAUGGAAAAGAUCUUGAGUCGCUUUGGCUAUAGUGACUGCAAGCCCUCUCCAACACCAUAUGAUGCGAGUGUGUUACUUUGA
rnacentral:rRNA from 1 species